GACGAACGCUGGCGGCGCGCUUAACACAUGCAAGUCGAACGGAACGGCCUGCUUUCACUUGUGGAUUCGGGGUACGCGUGUGGAAAACGGGUGAGAACUACGUGAGUCAUCUGGCUCGAACUUGGAAAUAAGCCUGGACAACUGGUACCAAUUCGUGAUAGCAUCGCAGUUUGGUGCCAGUGUUGGAGGACGAUGUUCUAGUUGCGGGGGAUGAGUUCGCGGCUUAUCUGCUUGUUGGUGGGGUACUGGCCUACCAAGGCGGCGACGGGUAGCCGGCCUGAGGGAGUAGACCGCCACAUUGGAACUGGGAUACGGCCCAGACUCCUACGGGGGGCAGAAGUAGGGAAUAUUGCACAAUGGGCGGAAGCCUGAUGCAGCGACGCCGCGUGGGGGAUGACGGCCUUCGGGUUGUAAACUCCUUUCGACCGCGAGGAAGCCACCUGGUUGGAAGGGUGGUGACGGUAGUGUUAGAAGAAGCACCGGCUAACUACGUG
rnacentral:rRNA from 1 species